rnacentral:lncRNA from 1 species
CUAUCCAAACAGGUUCCAGUGGGAGUGGCUGCUGUCCUGGCGACCAGAAGCUCCCUGGAGAGGUUUUGUUCUGCAGGUAGCGACAGGACCUCCCCAGAAGCCUGAAGAAGCCAAAGAAAUUGUUUGUUUUACCCGAUAAGACGCCGAGAUAGUGAAGCGAAGGCCACAAUCCAGGCCAUCACUCAUUAAUCCAUAAUGAGUAUCAUGACUUCCAGGGCACUGGGACGGAUUCGAGCAGGCAUAGCUGUUCUGCGCCUCACACACGUGGCAGGUGAGCGCUGUGAGCCCACGAGUGGAACAUUGGAGAGGAAAGAAGAGAAAAUGAGUCUACUGUUCAUCCUGCAGUACUAAAGCUGUCAUCCUAUUCCAUGUGGCCACCAAGUCCAGGGCUUAGGGAUCAGUACUUACCGUUACUCUGCACCAACUGUAAGCCCAGAACUAUGAGCAAGGCCACUAGGAACGCCAUCUCCAGAGGAUGCCUGGUCCUGUUGAGGAAAGGAGCGAGUGGCUAGCUCUGUUCACUGAAGUCCCCAGUCCCGCGUGGCACGGAACGUUCCCUCUCCUGGUCUGGAUGCCAGCCCCACCCCCCACCUCGCCGCUGCUCCUGGCCUCCCUAUCUCUAUGUUCCGCUGACUUCCAAGCCCUCACACCGUGGAGAAUCUUUCUCACACUUUCUACCCCAGAUAGUCGAUGUUCUGGACCGCUUGCCGGCCCUUGAAACGAACGGUUAAUUUGCUGGCAACCCUCAACCACACUCACUUCCUCAGCAGCCCGUGCCUCAGCGUGUCCACGGGUCCCUGCGUCUGACUGGCGAAGUCGGAGACUCAGCUAGUUUGGGGUCGCUCUUCCCACACUGCCCCCUACAGGGUGCCGUUGGUGCUCUUUCUGGAACAUUCCGGCUCCCGCAGCCUCCGCGUCUCAUUGAGGUCCGCCCAGGGAGGACAGAGAGCUCAGAGUCUGCAAGACACCCAGCUAACAGCGCCCUCUGCCUGACCCCACGAUAGUUACUCACGUCUUAGCAAGAACCUUCUUCCUGGCAGCCAGACACCAGACAGCCCCACUCUGACAAGAUGUGGUGCCAGAGCCUGACUGUGUUCAGAUUAGUUCCGUGAACGAACACAACAUGCACAAGCUACUAGAUCGACGGGUUUACGGGAACACAGCUCCUUCAGACUGGCACAGGAAGCGCGUCUGCAGAUUUUUUUUCGUUGAGCUGUCCCAUAGAGAACUCCAGCCAAACCCGUUCCCAUUUCUCUUGCCUCCUUUUGACACUGCUUUCUCCCCACGGUCCUGUGAUAAUGUUUUUAUUUUUAUUUUUUAUUUUUCACAGUUGCAUGAAUUCCCUAGCCAGAAUUUAGCUCAGCAUGUUUAAACAGUCUCCGUUAAGAUAGGAAAUAAGUUUUUUGGAAGAAUUUUUGUUAUAGGCAGUACUGUAUUGUCUAGAAUGUCACUCUCGGUGUAUGUACAAGGGCAGCUUCCCACCAGUGAGGUGGAAAGUCAAAGGGUUAGAUGUAUUUGCAACUUAGACCACUAUGCCCAAGUUGAUCGAUAGAUCAGUGGAUAACUUUGUCCUUAUGAUAAACAUAGGUAAUAAUAUGUACACUAUUUGUUUUUAAGUAAACAGCAUUCUUAUCUAUC